GAUUCGAAAGGGCAAACUGACCCAAAGGUCAGGGCGCAAAGGUACGGGUCUAAACCCAUCCGGGCACGAUAGCCGCACUGCCGAA
rnacentral:ncRNA from 1 species